rnacentral:lncRNA from 1 species
UGUUUCAUACCAUAAACACUUAAGAAAAUGUUCAUAUUAUUUAAUGAAAAAGCAUUAAAAAAAUCUUAUCUCAUCAAAUGUCAAAUGUCAAUUCAGUGUCAAAAUAACACUGAAAAUCAACAUUUAAAAUGGGGGAGGUGGAGGAGGAGGUGGUGGUGGUGGAAUACAUUUUCCUCCAGUAUUAGCAGGAGGAGGAGGCGACGGUGGCACCAUGGAGGCAUUUUGUGGAGGUGGGGGUGGAGGUAGUGAAGACCCACUGUAGGCAGAGCUAGGAGGAGGAGGAGGCGGAGGUGGAGGAGGAACAACCGUCUUGCCCUGAAUGGGAGGUGGAGGAGGUGGGACAGGGACAUUGCCUGGAGGAGGUGGUGGAGGAGGCGGAAUAGCCAUAUUACCCUGGGGAGGAGGAGGUGGAGGGUUUGCUGAAGUCAAUGAGGUAUUUUGGCCAGGUGGAGGUGGAACCAAAGAACCUCCAUACACAGAACUCGGAGGAGGAGGAGGAGAGGGAGGAGGAGGUGGGGGUGGAGCGUCUCCCAUCUCAUCAUCUGGGAGAGGUGGAGGAGGCAGCAUGGACAGGUCGGGAUAGGCAGGUAGAGUCGGGGAACGGUCAGACAUGAGUGAAGGAGGCGGUGAAGAUGGAGAGAGAUCAGGAGGAGCUGAGACGCUAGAACCCACGCAACCAGGCACUGAUGGAGGAGGAACUGCGAUACCCAAAAAAGACCUGAAACCACAGCAACAACAAUUGAGUUAAUCAAAAACAUUUUUACCUAAAGCUAUCUGAAUACAGGCAGCAAAAGCCACUACAAACCAGUUGAAGGUGCUGGUCUCCUGUGUGCCAAGUUGUACAGACACAGAUUCCUCAUUGUCUGCUUUUGGCUCUUCCUUCGGUGUCACAACAUAAUAAAUAGAAAUAAAUAUACAAAAUCAGCAGGGGUUUUAGAAAAUAUUGUGCAAAUCAAUUAAAUUAUUAAGUCAAGUUAACUCUAUUACAAAUAGGAUAAUCUUAUAAUUAGUAAUUACUGAUGGAAAAGUACUAUUGUUUUUCAUAUAGUAAUUACUUAUAUAUUUGGAGAUAUAUUUGCUCAGUGUUGCUGCCUUCCCAGUGGCCGUGGCCCAGUUUGUCUAAGCGGGUGUAGGAAAUGGGAACCCGUCUGUACGUGCGAAACGGCUCAUGGUCACUUGCUGGUGGAACCACCUUCUGAGUCCGGGGAACUUUUGACUGUUUGGUCAGCACUCCAAUCUCUUUCCGGGCUAUUUUCUCCUUGUACAUGCCAACUGUCUGAAUGUGAAUAUGGACAUUAGGAGGUUAUUUUGCCCAUUUACAACUUUGACAUGAUUAU